rnacentral:rRNA from 1 species
UGGGGAAUUUUGGACAAUGGGCGAAAGCCUGAUCCAGCAAUGCCGCGUGUGUGAAGAAGGCCUUCGGGUUGUAAAGCACUUUUGUCCGGAAAGAAAUCCUUGGCUCUAAUACAGUCGGGGGAUGACGGUACCGGAAGAAUAAGCACCGGCUAACUACGUGCCAGCAGCCGCGGUAAUACGUAGGGUGCAAGCGUUAAUCGGAAUUACUGGGCGUAAAGCGUGCGCAGGCGGUUUGCUAAGACCGAUGUGAAAUCCCCGGGCUCAACCUGGGAACUGCAUUGGUGACUGGCAGGCUAGAGUAUGGCAGAGGGGGGUAGAAUUCCACGUGUAGCAGUGAAAUGCGUAGAGAUGUGGAGGAAUACCGAUGGCGAAGGCAGCCCCCUGGGCCAAUACUGACGCUCAUGCACGAAAGCGUGGGGAGCAAACAGGAUUAGAUACCCUGGUAGUCCACGCCCUAAACGAUGUCAACUAGUUGUUGGGGAUUCAUUUCCUUAGUAACGUAGCUAACGCGUGAAGUUGACCGCCUGGGGAGUACGGUCGCAAGAUUAAAACUUAAAGGAAUUGACGGGGUCAUU